UUAUCGGUGCAAAUUCGACCCGGCUAACUCUCGCUCCGGCCGGAAGCACAAGGAGCGGUCCAGGAGGCAACGAGUGGGCUGAAGCACUUCUUGACUUCCGGCGGCUGCGCAUCCGCUUCGAGCGCCUAGCCUUCAUUCACGAAGCUUUCCUCAAGCUCGCCUGCUGCAUCAUCUGCUGGCGAUAACUUCA
rfam:Candidatus Burkholderia humilis strain TZHbot5 BHTMctg5, whole genome shotgun sequence.